AUGUUAUUUUCUUUAUCUAAGAUCCCUUUCAGGCCAGCUGUCAACACCUACAAUCUCCACAUCAUCUACGGUCAGGGCAGUGUUUUGGGUCAUCCAUUGUCAUCACCUACUAUCUCCACAUCAUCUAUGGUUUCUGAAUGUUCUGAAUCGAUUGGUUCAGAAUCAGAUAAUCAAAUAAAUGAAGCGCAAUUUUCAUCACCUACAUCACCAACCAAGUCAACGUUAUCUCCGGUUUCUGAAUUGGUAAUAAGAAAUCAACCUAAACUUUUUUAUACUAAUUCUGGUAUCAGACUAAGCGGAGUGAUAUUAUACCUUCAUAAACAUGUUGGUAUCUGUCAUCAAACAGACAUUAGUACAUUUUUUUAG
rnacentral:rRNA from 1 species